GACGAACCGUGCGAACGUUAUUCGGAAUCACUGGGCUUAAAGCGCGUGUAGGCGGAUGGGGACGUCGGUCGCUGAAAUCCCCCGGCUCAACCGGGGAAGUGGCACCGAAACGCCCCGUCUGGAGGGACGUAGGGGGACCUGGAACUUCCGGUGGAGCGGUGAAAUGCGUUGAGAUCGGAAGGAACGCCCGUGGCGAAAGCGAGGUCCUGGACGUCUUCUGACGCUGAGACGCGAAAGCUAGGGGAGCGAACGGG
rnacentral:rRNA from 1 species